rnacentral:rRNA from 1 species
CUUGCAUUUAACUGAUUUAACAUUGAGACGAGUGGCGAACUGGUGAGUAACACGUGGGUAACCUGCCCUUGAAGUAGGGGAUAACACUUGGAAACAGGUGCUAAUACCGUAUAACAACCAAAACCACCUGGUUUUGGUUUAAAAGAUGGCUUCGGCUAUCACUUUAGGAUGGACCCGCGGCGUAUUAGCUUGUUGGUAAGGUAACGGCCUACCAAGGCAAUGAUACGUAGCCGACCUGAGAGGGUAAUCGGCCACAUUGGGACUGAGACACGGCCCAAACUCCUACGGGAGGCAGCAGUAGGGAAUCUUCCACAAUGGACGAAAGUCUGAUGGAGCAACGCCGCGUGAGUGAUGAAGGGUUUCGGCUCGUAAAACUCUGUUGUUGGAGAAGAACAGGUGUGAGAGUAACUGUUCACAUCUUGACGGUAUCCAACCAGAAAGCCACGGCUAACUACGUGCCAGCAGCCGCGGUAAUACGUAGGUGGCAAGCGUUGUCCGGAUUUAUUGGGCGUAAAGCGAGCGCAGGCGGUUUCUUAGGUCUGAUGUGAAAGCCUUCGGCUUAACCGGAGAAGUGCAUCGGAAACCAGGAGACUUGAGUGCAGAAGAGGACAGUGGAACUCCAUGUGUAGCGGUGAAAUGCGUAGAUAUAUGGAAGAACACCAGUGGCGAAGGCGGCUGUCUGGUCUGUAACUGACGCU